UUGACCUCAAAUCAGGUAGGAUUACCCGCUGAACUUAAGCAUAUCAAUAAGCGGAGGAAAAGAAACCAACAGGGAUUGCCUUAGUAACGGCGAGUGAAGCGGCAAAAGCUCAAAUUUGAAAUCUGGCACCUUCGGUGUCCGAGUUGUAAUUUGAAGAAGGUAACUUUGGAGUCAGCUCUUGUCUAUGUUCCUUGGAACAGGACGUCACAGAGGGUGAGAAUCCCGUGCGAUGAGAUGUCUGAUUCUAUGUAAAGUGCUUUCGAAGAGUCGAGUUGUUUGGGAAUGCAGCUCUAAGUGGGUGGUAAAUUCCAUCUAAAGCUAAAUAUUGGCGAGAGACCGAUAGCGAACAAGUACAGUGAUGGAAAGAUGAAAAGAACUUUGAAAAGAGAGUGAAAAAGUACGUGAAAUUGUUGAAAGGGAAGGGUUUGUGAUCAGACUUGGUAUUUUGUAUGUCUUGCUUUCGGGUGGGGCCUCUGCAGUUUACUGGGCCAGCAUCGGUUUGGACGGUAGGAUAAUGACAUUGGAAUGUGGCACCACCUCGGUGGUGUGUUAUAGACUUUGUUGAUACUGCCUGUCUAGACCGAGGACUGCGUCUUUGACUAGGAUGCUGGCAUAAUGAUCUUAAACCGC
rnacentral:rRNA from 1 species